ACCAUGAAAUUUUCAUUGCACUUUAUGCAUGAUAAUUUCAGGGUUUGGGGGGUCUGAAGUUAGGGAGGUGAUUUUUGACGGCUUUUAACCUGUGAGUCAGCUUUUUCACCACGACGGGUUGAAUGGAGCCUCAAAACCACAUGCUGUCACUGGAACGAUACGGAUUGCCUUGAGCACGAUCGAGGACUCAAAUACGAUCAGAAGCUCCUGAGAUCUGUCCAGAAUGCCAGCCACAUGCCCCCAACUUGCUCUGAUCAAUGCAGCAGCAUUCGGUUAUUAUUGGAUAGUCAGAUUCCUUCUCUGGACUGGAGUAGACGUGAAUUGCAAAGAUGAUCAAGAGAACAUGUUUACUCCAAUCUUC